rnacentral:rRNA from 2 species
GAGGCAGCAAUGGGGAAUCUUCCGCAGUGGAAAAAACUCUGACAGAACAACCCCGCGUGAACGAUGAGGGCUUUCAGGUCGUAAAGUUCUGUUGUUAGGGAAAAACAAGUACAAGUUGAAUAAGCUUGUACCUUGACGGCACCUAACCAGAAAGCCACGGCUAACUACGUGCCAACAGCCGCGGUUAUACAUAUGUGGCAAGCUUUAUCCAGAAUUAUUGGGCGUAAAGCGCGCGCGCGUGGUUUCUUAUCUCUGAUGUGAAAGCCCACGGCUCACCCGUGGGAGGGUCUUUGAAAACUGGGAAACUUGAGUGCAGAAGAGGAGAGUGAAUUUCCAUGUGUAGCGGUGAUAUGCGUAGAUAUAUAGGGGAAACACGUGUGGCGAAGGCGACUCUCUGGUCUGUCAUCUGACUCUGAGGCGCAAAAGCGUGGAGAGCAAACGAGUAUUAGAUACUCGUGGAUAGUCCACGCUGUAAACUAUGAGUGCUAAGUGUUAGGGGGGUUUCCCGCCCCUUUAGUGCUGAAGUUAACCGCUUAAAGCACUCCCCGGAGAUCACGCCGCAGGCUGAACUCAAAAGAAUUGACGGGGCCCGCAAUCUGUGAAACAAUGUGUUUAAUUCAGAGCCACGCGAA